GUCCAGGCAGAUGUCGUUAUUCACAGCAGGGUUGGGGUACUUGGGGUACCGCGCUAGGAAUUUGUGGCAUAGCAACCCCAAGCUCUUCUCCUUCCGACUCGGCUGGGAUUUCUCAAAUUCGUCUCCUGAUAAGUGUUCCUGCAGAGGGAAAGCAGGUCAACAGCCUUCCAACAGCUCCGGGCUCCACACUGACCGUCCCUUCAUCCACAAGCCCCCAAACGCCACCCAGCCUCCCUGUAAACCUACGUGCAAACAGUCUCUAGCUUCAGGUAAUGCACUUCGGUUGUCAGACAGGCCCCUUUUCUGAUCUCGACUUCGGAUCUCGGGGCUCACGGCGCUGAUGAGCAUUUUCAGGUUGGCUGUGGGUGUCCAUGGCUCUCCUUGGGAGACUUCCUUGGGCUUGGUUGGUGUGGUUAGAGGGCCCAAGUCAGGCUGGAUCUCAGCCAACACCAUGUUGGCCUUCGAGGACGGAUGCAGGGGGCUUUUCAUCAGUCCCCUUUUAUGUGGCUCAGAAAAGAGGUUUUCCUGGUUUAAGAGGAAUUAAUAACUGAGUUCAUUGUAAAACAGAACCUAGCAGAAAGGCUUUCUGCCUUUCAUAUUGACCAAGUAGGUUAAGAAUAUCACAGUGAUCUCUGGACAGUAUUUUCCUUUUUUGCUUGAGACAAGGUCUCACUAUACAUUCCAACCAGUCUGGAACUUACUAUGUAGUAACAAGCUGACCCUAAAUUAACAAUCCUCCUGCCUCUGCCUCUGUUGUGAUUACAGGCAUGUCCCCUGCUACUACGGUAAAUUUAAUAGUUAAACUUCCCACUUUUAACUUGGUAGAUACUAUGGAUCUAAAUGUCUUCACCAUGUGAUCUAAGAAUUUACAUUAAUAAAUAAAUAACAUUAACUACA
rnacentral:lncRNA from 1 species